CAUUUCAGUUGAGUUCUGUUUCAGUUUCGGUUCGGUUCUGUUCCGUUUUUUCCUUCUUCAUUUAUUUAUUUAUACUAGGAAAAUAUUUAAAAAAUAUUUUAAAUAACAUAAACAUUAUACGUGUCUAAUACUAAACCCGAAUAUAUAUAUUUAACCAACUUAAACCCCAAUAUUGUGUAUUUCUAACUACUACGACGAACCACGACAAUGCCGACAAUCUGUGGGAUUAACGCUCGCUGGAACUGAACGAUGGAUCUGGCAGAUCAAAUCGAUGACUAUAUCUGUUCGUUCGAGGGAAUUGGUGACUUAACAAUGGACUCUCUGGCCAUCUUCAUUUUCCUGUGGGCCGUUCUGGCCCUCUUCUCCGUCUGGCUGAUCAAGCUCCUCUACCACAAGUAUCUCAACAAGGCCAACAAAUCCCCCAGUGCGGCCAACAGCCGUCAGAGUAGCGUGGCCCCCGGCUCGGGUUCUGUUUCGGGAUCUCCUUCCGGCAAAACAGAGAAGCGUCUCUCGGAGCCCCGUGAUUUGGUGGCCACCAAGAGCAAGGUGGAGGAUCUCUCCAAGCCACUAACUGGUGGCGUUUCAUCUGGCGGUAGGGGUCGAUCAUCGGCUUCUCCCCUGAACUCGGCCGGGCCCUUGGGUGCCGCUGGUGCUGCCGGUCCACGUCGCCGGGUGGUGCGUCAGAGUUCCACUGGACCGGAGAAUCGCAAGAAGCGCUAUGUUCCACCGCCCUCCAAUGUGGUGGGUCCGGAAACGAGCUCUGUAACCUGGACCAGCCAGGUCUUCCGCUGGCUCUACAGCGACCUGGUCAUCGUCAACGAACUGCUCAUGUCCUGGGUGAUUGCCAUCAAUGACACGCUGCGCAAAUCCGUGGAGGAGCAUGGCGUGGCCGUGGAAGUGGUGCGCGUUCUGCCCGAUAGCCCAGCUCCGGGAUUAAACAAUAUCUUUUGCAAUUGCGAUGAGAACAAUCCCGCUGAUAUGCUCAUCACCUUUGACUGCGAUGCCAUGCCGGUGCUGCAGGUCAAGACUUUCCGCCAAAAGGCCGGCAAGGUGGAGACCUCCCAUUACAAGGUCACCGUGUCCAGGUUCCGGGCUCGCAUGGCCAUACCCAUGAACUAUAAUACCCUGAAGGGCGAGAUGCGUGUAGAGGGUUAUCCAGAUGUUCGCAUUGCCAUGAACAGCGUGGGCGCCAUCAAGGCCAUGGAUCAGGAUGAACAGCAGCUGCAGACGGUGAUCAGCGAUAUCCUGACGACGGCUUUGCGUGAUACCAUCUAUCCGGUGGACUUCUCCAUCUACUCGACCUGCCCGCGGGCCGAAGUGGAGCCCCUGGAUCUACCUGUAAUCUAUCCCGUCCACUAUGACUCGCUGGCGCACAAUAUGGAGCAUCAUCUGAGCGGCGUGGGGCUAAGGGACUCCCAGCACAUGGUCUCUGGCCGCCGGCUUCUUGUAAAGAUUGUCAAGGGCGAAGGCCUAAGGGAUGCCCACGAUCCCUAUGUUGUCAUCGAGAUGGAUGAGCCGGCCCAAAAGAACCAGACGGGCACCCAGCGCGGCACCAAGCCCUACUGGGAUGAGCACUUCCUCUUCGAACUCUCCCCCCAAUCUGCCGAGAUCCUUUUCGAGGUUUAUGACCAUCCGGUUAUAGCCUCUGAUCCGCCCAAAUUCCUGGGUCUCGGCCUGGUUGGCAUCGAUGAGCUGGCCGUGGGUCCUGCCUCCACGCAACUUCUGCAGCUGCAGCCACGUCCUUAUGAGACGCAGCCUGUUUCCGGGGCCAUCACCGUGGACUUUGUGUUCAUCGAGGGUGCCGAGAUCCCGGCUGGAGUUCGCCCGCAGCGCCUGAAGGAGGCGUUGCGCCUCAGCACGCCAGCCAUCAAUGAGCACAUCCGAAAUGGAGCCGAUCUGGCGGAUGCGGCUGUAAGAGCUCUACAGGAUGGAGCGCUCUCGAGCACUGGCAGCGGUGGACAGCCCAGCAAGAGCACUUUGAUCAUACACAGUGUGCAGCGGAAUUCGACCGGCCCGAAUGCAUUUAAGGUCGAGGUCAACAAGGAGGGCCAGAUCGAGGUGGUCCAGUCGCCGACCGAGCUGGAUCAGACAGUGGCCCAGGCCUUUGAGCGGGCUGCCAACGAGGCCCAGGCCGAGCUUGAGCUGGAGAAGGCCAAGCUGGAGUUGGAGCCCGGUCAGGGUGACAUACUCAACGACUCAGGUAAUGGUACCGUCAACGAGGACAGCGUCGCGGAGUAUGGCCAGCCCAAUGCCGCCUCAUCGCCCAAUGGCAGUGGCUAUGGACACAACAACUACAGCCUCAAUGGCAAUGGCAACUCGGGAGGAGCCGGAGGAGGCUACAACAGCCUGCCCAGGAAUGGAGCUGCCUUGCAUCAGCAGAUGGGUCACCACAAUGCCGGCUUGAUACUCGACGGACAGGACGUGGUGGAUGCGGACCGUGGAAGGAGCAAAAAACGUAAUUUCUUUGGCACCCUGAAGAAGCGGCUAAGCCGCUCCAAGACACGUACCCUCUCGGCCGAUCAGCCCAAUAAUAAUAAAAAUAGCAGUCAUAAGUCACUAUCAGCCACCAACUCGAAUACAGCGACCACAGCCACCGGAUAUCCCCGAAACGCCACCGGAACCCUCAAUGGUGAUUCUUCCCGUUCAUUAUCUGUCGAUCGUGCCACUACUCUGUCCAAAAGCAAUUCACUUGGACCCCGCAUGGGCAUUGGUCACUCCAUCACCGACCACUCACGCCGCUCCUCAAUUUCAGAAUCCUCGGCCAUCUCAGGUUUCUCCUCGGCCAGCAAUAAGACCUAUGUGCACGAGGCCUCCACCUUAGUGCUGGAGACGGUGGAGAAUGGCAUCAAGCGUCACUUUAUUGUGCCGCUGGCCAUUGCCCAGAGACCGCGCUGGCGUCGCAAGGGAACCAAGCUGCACAUCUACAACGAUCACACCUUCAUCGCCAAGCAUUUGAGCGGAAGCGGCCUGCAGUGCUCCAUCUGCAUGAAGUCCAUACCCCGUAGGCCCGGCAAGCAGGGCUACGAGUGCCGCGACUGCCAGCUGAUCUGUCACAAGCAGUGUCACAUACGGGCGCCCCAGGCGUGUCCCAAUCCCACGGUGCUCUCCAUGGAACUAACGUCAUUUCCGGAUGACCACUGAGGGGUAGUGUCGAGGUCUCAGCGAACACAACAACAACCAACCAACCAGCCACCAAAGCACGUUUUUAGUCCAUUAAGAAAAGAACCAUUCUAAAGACAAUAGCUCUCCCAGCACACAGUUCUACUUCGAUCAGGGUUUCCCUCUUAGAUUCUCUCACGUUCGAGGUUCAAGCGUUUCUCAGUUGAGCGUUUUGGCAACUGGGAAAUCGGGAACCAAACUUAGCUCGGCGGCGGCAGAUCGCAGCAUACGAAAACUGUGAGGGGAAUCCAGCUUAAUUCUGCCCCCCCCGAAAACCGAGAAACCAUAAUCGAAAUACUACUCUUAGUUAGAGAUCAGAUGGAUCUGUCUUCUGCUGCGGAAAACCCCAAUACCCGAUACCCGAAACACCACGUUAUUUAUUUAUACACACACACACCCACAACACGAACACACACACCAUGUGCAAUAUGUUCUUUGGUUUCGUUUUUUUAACCACAUUUUCUCUGUGUCAACGUGCUGGAGCCCAUUGAUAUUUUUUUGUAUUUUCUACAAAACACGAAUAAUAAUUGUACAAAAAUAAAAGUGAAUUAGAGGUUUUUUAAAUGAA